CUCGUAGGCGGUUUGGUAAGUCGGAUGUGAAAUCUCCAGGCUCAACUUGGAGGGGUCAUUCGAUACUGCCAUGACUAGAGUUCGGUAGGGGAGUGUGGAAUUCCUGGUGGAGCGGUGAAAUGCGCAGAUAUCAGGAGGAACACCCGUAGCGAAGGCGGCACUCUGGGCCGGAACUGACGCUGAGGAGCGAAAGCGUGGGGAGCGAACAGGAUUAGAUACCCUGGUAGUCCACGCCGUAAACGUUGGGCACUAGGUGUGGGGUUCUAUCGACGGAUUCCGUGCCGUAGCUAACGCAUUAAGUGCCCCGCCUGGGGAGUACGGCCGCAAGGCUAAA
rnacentral:rRNA from 1 species